rnacentral:rRNA from 1 species
UACGUAGGGGGUUAGCGUUGUCCGGAUUUACUGGGUGUAAAGGGCGCGUAGGCGGAUUCGUAAGUCAGAGGUGAAAUCCUACAGCUUAACUGUAGACCUGCCUUUGAUACUGCGAAUCUUGAGUUCAGAAGAGAGAGAUGGAAUUCCAGGUGUAGUGGUGAAAUACGUAGAUAUCUGGAAGAACACCAGUGGCGAAGGCGGUCUCUUGGUCUGUAACUGACGCUGAGGCGCGAAAGCGUGGGUAG